UACUGUAAAAAAUUUGGAGAAUACAGAGAAGUUCAAAGAAGAAAACAAAUCACAUGCAUUCUGAGCACCCAGAGAUGGGCACUCUUCAAGUGUUUGCGGAUUUCCUUCAAGUCUUUUCUCUACGUGCAUGUGUUUGUGGCAGUCACAUUGUUAAGGCCUGAGUUGUGCAGCUGGCAGUCCUCACAGCAGAGGAGACACAGACUGCGCCAACCUCGGCAACUGGUGACUUCAGGAGCCCCAAACUCACAGUGAGCACUGCGCUGGUAAAAAGCCCUGUUGCCCUGUCACUGGGCAUCCACCUUCCAGGCCUCCCCAAGCUGAGCAGGAAACAGAGCCCCCCCACUCCGCCUCGGUGGGCUGUGUAGACUCCAAAGGAGGGGUACUGGCCUGUUUUGAAAGGCGGAUGCGAUGCUGAGGAUCCAGAACUCACUGAGGAUGCUGCCGAAAGCCAGGACAUUGGCAAUCUGUAGUGAACGAGGCACUAACCAACUCUUCCUAACGCACGAAGAACCUACAGGAUUCACAAUCACCGUGCCAGGAUGAGGGAAUUACCCAAGUUUCCAGAUGGAAACAGAGUGCCUCAGGGUGGGAAAGUCACUUCCCUAAAGCCGAACACCUGGAAAACGUGGGCAGGAUUCCAACCCAGAUCCUUCCAACUCCAGGGUCAACGAUCUCCAAGUCUGCAUUUCUCAGCCUGGACCACGUGCUACCUUUAUAGGGGACGGAAGUAGCAACAGUGAUUGGGGCAAAGUCAAAGUUUGCUCUGUAAGAAUGGAGAUGCUGAGGUCUGGCUGUUGCCCGGUUCCACCCAAGACCCUCUUGCUGUCUGGGAGGUUUGGAGUUUCUGAGGCCAUGGCAUCCAGCCACAGGCUGGCACCAUUCAAGGACAAAAGCUGCCCUUUUUCCAAGGAUCCCCUUGCAGAUUGCAUCGGAGGCUUCAAAGUCUGCUUUUUCUGGUAAAGAAGGCCGUGCUCAAGGCUACCGAUGCCUUUAAGAACAAAUCCUGCAUGGACAGGACUCUUCAGCCUGUGCAUAGAAGGGGGUGCCACUCAAUGCCGGGACCUCCAAAAGGCCUUGGUGGUCUAUUAUUGAAGGAGAAAGCAAGCUAUAAAACGGACUGACAUUUGUUCAAAGAACGAACGAAUGAAGAUGUCUGUGUGUUCAUCUGCACGGGACCAGCUGAAGCCGUGGGCUGUGGGCUUUGCAGCCAUGCG